AGUGAUGUGAUUCUUUAGUUAGUAGAUUAGAAUGAGGUUCGAUUUACGAUUUGUUGGGUUGUGAUAAAUGGAUAAUAUUCAGAUAAGCGUUCUCUAAUGAAUUUCAUUGGAAUCGCAAUCAUCUACAGUGGUUAAUAGAUAGAUAAUGUAUUGAUGAUUCCAAUUUGUCUGCGAUCACUUCCUCAUUCAACUUACAAUUAAUACUUACCUAUGUUCGCUUCGCAGUUUAGUUAUACUUGAGCAAACGUCACAACAUUUGUUUUCGCGAAAAAAUGGUGUUGUAAGUAUCUAAUAUUUGGGUUGAAUUAUCCCUUUAUAAUUAUGCAAUCGUAAAUAAUCAAAUUUGUUUGAAAAAAUUCUAAAUGCUUUGUUUGAGGAACGCGAUUGUUGUAUUCGUUCUGAUUUGUUCUGUUGUGUUGCUAGUUGGACAUUGUGAAGAGCUGUCGGAAGGAUUGAUUUCCGAUGAAACCGCAUAAUUAUUAUUUGCCAAAGCAUGUAAAAACAGCUUUCCAAAAAAAAAUGCAAGAAAGAAAUGACCUUAAACGAGAAAUAGAUGAUAUCAAACAAGAAAUAGAUGAUCGCAAACGCAAACGAGAAAAUGAAUACUUCAGAUAUUAUUUAGGUUAAUUAUGUAUUCUUCUUCUUGGUGCCGUUUCACCCCUAGGGGGGUAUUGUGACUAUGAUGCCGCGACCGUCACCGUCACUUCCGUGAUGUGAUACACCAGCUCCCUCCAUGUGUCUCUGUUUUGAGCGCUCCUAACACACGCUGGGAAGCUGGGUCCAACCAUUUUCCAGAUUGAGUCUGUUCAUCUCGUGGGAGAGCGUUACCGUUCCUUGAAUGAAUAGGGACUCUAUCGCAUUUGCCAUUGUGACAUGCCCGAAGUACAUUUGAGGAUUCGGCUUGAGUACCACCGCCGACAACCUCUUCUGGACACCAAUUUCUCCCAGGAUGGACACAUUAGUCCUCUUUGCCGUCCAUGGGAUCCAAAGCAUUCUCCUACAGCACCACAUCUCAAGCGUGUCAAUUUUUCUCCUGUCUCGUUCGCGUACUGUCCAGGUUUCUGACGCGUAGAGGAAUACUGAGAAAACCACAGUGUUUACAAGCCUUUUCUUCAGAAUCCUGCUCAUUGCUGCAUCUGACCAUAUCUUCUUUAGGCAAGACUUGGCGCUUCGUGUGAUUCGCACUCUGCGUCUUACAAUGGAUCCCAGGUACACAAAUCGACUCACCACUCCGAUUCCCUCAAUUUCCUGGAUUUCAGGCGAGUUGUUCUCAGGGCGAUUCACAAUCAUGAUCUUCGUCUUUGCUUUAUUUAUCAGCAAGCCGUGUUUUGCGCUCACCUCUUCCAGACAUUUCAGAAAGCUGAUCAUAUUUUCGACGCUUAUCCGAUGCAGAGCUAAUUGGAUACUUCGUGGUGGCAACAUAAUUUGGUUUCUUGCCAUUAUUCGUAAUCUGGAAUUUUCGCAACAGGACCACACAUGGUCCUGUUGCGAAAAUUCCAGAUUACGAAUAAUGGCAAGAAACCAAAUUAUGUUGCCACCACAGGGUAUCCAAUUAGCUCUGCACUGGAGAGGUUUGUGCCUUUUUCUAAGAAAUUAACUUUUGAACCGAACACAAAUUCGGAUUUUUUGUUCCAAAAAGAUUCAAAAUUAACUAAACGUGCGACAGGAAGCUGGGUUUGUAGGCCGGCUAAAUACUACAAUGUACAGAUUUGUUAAACAACUAGUUGUUUAACGAAUCUGUACAUCGUGGUAUUUAGUCCCUCAACUGAAAAUCAAGUGGUUCUGGUAGCCACAUCAAUGUUGAAAAAAUUUGGAAUUGUAUUAAUACCUAACUGAAUUAAGAUUCUAAAUUCAUGUUUAAAAAUUCUUUUGAAUCCCCUCUUUGUGAUGAACAAAACACUACUGUGAAGAGCCUUUCCAAUAUUGCAAAAUGAAAAAUACAUACUUAUCAACAAAAAAAAAAUACAAUUCAGUCAAAAUAUUUUUUAAAUGUUAGAAAUGAGGUCAGAUUAACAAUUUAACAGGUAUAAAUUUCUUGUCACAUUCUUCAUGUUAUCUGUAGGAAGUGUAGGACCUUUGUUGUCUUUUUAUUUCAUAAUUUAUGUUGUGUUAGCCUACGCUGAAUGUCUGAAAAAUUCAUUCUGACGAAUGCUUGUGUAAAAUUUUAUUUAAUUAUCUGUUCUCUGUAAAUUAAUUGAUACUUACAACUUCUGUUUAAUUUAAUUCAUAAAAUUAAAUAUUUGAUUUUAUCGUACUCGAUGGAAAACUUUCUUUAGAUAACCAAAUAGAGGAUAUUUCAAAUUGA